UGAGUAACCUGCCCUUAACUCUGGGAUAAGCCUGGGAAACUGGGUCUAAUACCGGAUAUGACUCCUCAUCGCAUGGUGGGGGGUGGAAAGCUUUUUUGUGGUUUUGGAUGGACUCGCGGCCUAUCAGCCUGUUGGUGAGGUAAUGGCUCACCAAGGCGACGACGGGUAGCCGGCCUGAGAGGGUGACCGGCCACACGUGGGACUGAGACACGGCCCAGACCUCCGUACGGGAGGCAG
rnacentral:rRNA from 1 species